rnacentral:rRNA from 1 species
GGGUCAGCAGGCUGGUCGUGCCACUGGUAUGAACUGGUCUCGGUGAUUCCUCCUUUCUGAAGAACUGUAAUGUCAUUAAUUUGGUGUUGCAGGGAAACAGGACUGUUACUUUGAAAAAAUUAGAGUGUUUAAAGCAGGCUAACGCUUGAAUACAUUAGCAUGGAAUAAUGAAAUAGGACGUUCGAUCCUAUUUUGUUGGUUUCUAGGAUUGACGUA